rnacentral:rRNA from 1 species
CAGCCGCCGCGGUAAUACGUAGGGUGCAAGCGUUAUCCGGAAUUAUUGGGCGUAAAGAGCUCGUAGGCGGUUUGUCGCGUCUGCUGUGAAAACUGGAGGCUCAACCUCCAGCCUGCAGUGGGUACGGGCAGACUAGAGUGCGGUAGGGGAGAUUGGAAUUCCUGGUGUAGCGGUGGAAUGCGCAGAUAUCAGGAGGAACACCGAUGGCGAAGGCAGAUCUCUGGGCCGUAACUGACGCUGAGGAGCGAAAGCAUGGGGAGCGAACAGGAUUAGAUACCCCAGUAGUCCCUGUCUCUUAUAC